UACGUAGGGACCAAGCGUUGUUCGGAUUUACUGGGCGUAAAGGGAGCGUAGGCGGUAUGACAAGUCACUUGUGAAAUCUCCGGGCUUAACUCGGAAAGGUCAACUGAUACUGCGGGGCUAGAGUGCGGAAGGGGCAACUGGAAUUCUCGGUGUAGCGGUGAAAUGCGUAGAUAUCGAGAGGAACACCUGCGGCGAAGGCGGGUCUCUGGGCCGAUACUGACGCUGAGGAGCGAAAGCGUGGGGAGCAAACAGG
rnacentral:rRNA from 1 species